rnacentral:rRNA from 1 species
CUACGGGUGGCAGCAGUGGGGAAUAUUGGACAAUGGGGGCAACCCUGAUCCAGCAAUACCGCGUGUGUGAAGAAGGCCCGAGGGUUGUAAAGCACUUUCAGUAGGGAGGAUUAAUGUUACGGUUAAUACCCGUGAUAUUUGACGUUACCUACAGAAGAAGCACCGGCUAACUCAGUGCCAGCAGCCGCGGUAAUACUGAGGGUGCAAGCGUUAAUCGGAAUUACUGGGCGUAAAGCGCGCGUAGGUGGUUAGAUCAGUUGGGUGUGAAAGCCCCGAGCGUAACUUGGGAACUGCAUUCAGUACUGUCUAGCUAGAGUAUGGUAGAGGGAAGUGGAAUUCCGCAUGUAGCGGUGAAAUGCGUAGAGAUGCGGAGGAACACCAGUGGCGAAGGCGACUUCCUGGACCAAUACUGACACUGAGGUGCGAAAGCGUGGGGAGCAAACAGGAUUAGAUACCCCCGUAGUC